GCCGCCCCCCGCGGGGUUUGCCCCCUCCGGGGUCUUGCUGCGUGCGCGGCUCCUCUGCACGCAGCGAGCCGGGCUGCUCUUCCUCCCCCCCGCCUCCUCCUCCUCUCCGGCUGCACAAAGAGCAACAGUGAAGGCCCUGGCUUGCUUUUAAAGGCAGCGGCUGGAAAUUUAAGGUGUCCCAGAGCCAUGUCUCCCCGCAGCGCUCCUCGCCGCACUCCGUGGAUAAAUGGUUGUUGCAGUUCCUCACCUUGUAGGUCUGAGGCGGUUGGGUUGCCGUUAAUUGCUCUUGGGUUUGUUUUGGACUGAUCAGCAGAGAAACUGAUACCGUUGCUCUGGGGUGGGAAAGGCCAGCAGUCUGUGCGAGAGAACCAUGUCUGUUCGGGAGUCGUUUAACCCAGAAAGUUACGAACUGGACAAGAGCUUCCGUCUGACCCGAUUCACUGAACUGAAAGGCACAGGCUGCAAAGUGCCUCAGGAUGUCUUACAGAAACUGCUCGAAUCUCUACAAGAAAACCAUUUUCAGGAAGAUGAACAGUUCCUGGGGGCAGUUAUGCCCAGGCUGGGAAUUGGGAUGGACACUUGCGUUAUUCCAUUAAGACAUGGAGGUUUGUCGUUGGUCCAGACAACAGAUUAUAUUUAUCCUAUUGUGGAUGAUCCUUAUAUGAUGGGACGGAUAGCGUGUGCCAAUGUCCUAAGUGACCUUUAUGCCAUGGGGGUCACAGAAUGCGACAACAUGUUGAUGCUCCUUGGAAUCAGCAAUAAAAUGACAGAUAGGGAAAGAGACAAAGUGAUGCCUCUAAUUAUCCAGGGUUUCAAAGAUGCAGCAGAAGAGGCAGGAACAUCUGUUACUGGUGGCCAAACAGUGUUAAAUCCCUGGAUUGUUUUAGGAGGAGUGGCCACGACAGUCUGUCAGCCUAAUGAAUUUAUAAUGCCAGACAAUGCAGUGCCAGGAGAUGUGCUUGUAUUAACUAAACCCUUGGGAACUCAAGUGGCUGUAGCUGUCCACCAGUGGCUAGAUAUUCCAGAAAAGUGGAAUAAAAUCAAACUAGUGGUAACGCAAGAAGAUGUAGAACUAGCAUACCAGGAAGCAAUGAUGAAUAUGGCACGACUGAACAGAACAGCUGCUGGACUCAUGCACACUUUCAAUGCACAUGCAGCUACAGACAUCACAGGAUUUGGAAUCCUGGGGCAUGCACAAAACCUUGCCAAGCAGCAGCGAAAUGAGGUGUCCUUUGUUAUUCAUAACCUUCCUGUUCUUGCUAAAAUGGCUGCUGUCAGUAAGGCUUGUGGCAAUAUGUUUGGCCUCAUGCACGGGACUUGUCCAGAGACUUCAGGAGGCCUCCUCAUCUGUUUACCACGAGAACAGGCAGCACGUUUCUGUGCCGAGAUCAAGUCUCCAAAAUACGGUGAAGGUCACCAAGCAUGGAUUAUCGGCAUUGUAGAGAAGGGCAACCGCACGGCCAGAAUUAUAGACAAACCACGAAUCAUUGAAGUCGCACCACAGGUGGCCACUCAAAACGUGAACCCGACGCCCGGUGCCACCUCUUAAUAUAGAUGAAAUAGCUGUUUGUUUUUAAAUAGAUCUAUUCCUUUAUCAUCCUACAAUUUAAAGAACUGUAAAAAGAAAAGAAAACUUGUUGUGUCUGCACAUCUGGUGGCCUUAGCACAAAGUAUGCGACGGUUUUGAAUUGUUUCCUCUGCAAGUCCUGGCUGUGCCUGCUGUAAGCUAGAGGAGGGUUCGUGAGCAGCCCUGUAAGUGGAACGGAUGCUGAAACCCGUCUUUUCCCCGACGGCACCGUAAGCUGCCCCGUUGCAGCAGGCUCACUGCUAACUCCGCUCUGCUGAGACACACCAUGCGGCUCUUCUGCUGAAUGGGACUGAGCGCGCUUCACUGAACCGGCUCUUUUUAAGCCUUUUCCAGAUUGUGGAAUUUGCUCCUUGAUAUUCAGACCAGGAAGAAGAAAAUCUUGGAUAACCAUUACUGCCACCAGCACGAAUUACAAGGGCUUCUGUAUGAAAAAUGAGUCUCUAGAGAUGAACCAGUCUUGUGCAUCAUGCAAGGUUUAAAUUUCCAGUCUUGCUCCUAGUGAAGACUCUGGCAAAACUUGGCUCAUCUGUUUUCCACUCAGUAGUGUUCUCAACAGAUACCUUUUGCAAAGGUAUAAUUUUUCUCCCCCCCCCCCCCCCAUGAGUAGCCUAAACCACACAGAACCUCACGCUCCUUUUCCUGGAGAAGUCUGCAAGUUGCGUGUUCACAACAAACCCUCAAAGCAGUAACUGAGUUUUUGACUUUGC